GCCGCCCCCCGCAGCCCCACACGCGGCCCGGCUGAGGGGAUCGCGGCCCGGCGGCACCGCCCGGCCCGCAGCCACCGGCCCGGCCGAGCUCCCCCGCCCGCCGCCGCAGCGCAGGGCCCGGCGCCCUCGGCCGCCUUUCGGUUUCGGUUCCGCGCUGCGAGAGGAGGUAAUUUUGCUUUUCUUCGCUGGUUUAUUUUUCGGCGCGGCUACGAGCAGGAGCCGUAGGGCGGGGCUGCGGUAGCUGUUCGUUUCCCUUUCCCAGCCCGCUCUCCACGCCGCUUUUUCCUGGCGAUUUCUCUUUUUCCCCGCUGUUUUCCCCUCGCUGCCCGCGCCGCCUUUCGGGGCCGGCCCGCGCUCCGCGCUGAGGGCGGGCGGUGGCGCGGGGCACCACGGGAAGGGCUUUUCCCGCCGCCCGGGCCGGGAGAGGAGGAGGCGGCGCGGGGGCAGCGAGCGCGUCGGGCGAGCGGGGCAGCGGCGCACGGCGGCCCAGAGCCUUCUAGGAUGUGACCAUGGAGUGCCUGUCACUGCCAGUGACCUCCUGGCUGCUUAGAAGCCCCAGAGAGCUCUGCGAUGUCACCGUGGAAGCCCUGUGAGUGCAGCCUUUGACACCCUUGGAGAAUGUCGCUGUAGAUCCUGUGAGUGCCUGUGACAUUGCAGCUUUUUAACAGCAUGGAGACUUCUAGGAUGUCACCGUGGAACCCCUGUGAGUGCCAGUGACCUCACGGCUGCUUAGCAGCCUGGACACACUUGUGAUGCUGCUGUUGAGACCCUGUGACAGUCUGUGAAGUCAGUGUGGUUUGGCAAAGGGGAGACUCCUGGGAUGUCCCCAUGGAACCCCUGGGAUUGCCCAUGCCCUCAGUGUUCCUUAGGAGCUUGGAGACCUCUGGGAUGUGACCACAGAACCUCAGUGAGUGCCUGUGCCAAAUGGGCUCCUUAACAUGUAGAGACAUCUCUGUUGUCCUCAUGGACGCUGGUGACUGCCUGGGACCUCGCAAGUCUUUGGAAGAUGAAGGAGCUGUGGCGUGUCACCAUGGAGUCACUGUGCCUGUUUGUGAUCUCUCUGCUUCUGAGCAGGCUGGAGACAACUGUGAUGUGACCAGGGACUGGAGUGGGGGUGUGGUGGUUGAGGGAG